rnacentral:rRNA from 1 species
CUUUGCAUAAGCGAAAGCUUGACAGGGCUAUCCCGAGUGCCAUCCGCUGAGGAAGGCUUUUACCCAGCUCUAGUAAGCUGGGGGAAUAAGGAGAGGGCAAGUCUGGUGUCAGCCGCCGCGGUAAUACCAGCUCUCCGAGUGGUGUGGAUGUUUAUUGGGCCUAAAGCAUCCGUAGCUGGCUGAGUUAGUCCCCUGUUAAAUCCACCGAAUCAAUCGUUGGAUUGCGGGGGAUACUGCUCGGCUAGGGGACGGGAGAGGCAGACGGUAUUUCCGGGGUAGGGGUGAAAUCCUAUAAUCCCGGGAAGACCACCAGUGGCGAAGGCUGUCUGCUAGAACGCGCCCGACGGUGAGGGAUGAAAGCUGGGGUAGCGAACCGGAUUAGAUACCCGGGUAGUCCCAGCUGUAAACGAUGCAGGCUAGGUGUUUGGGCGGCCACGUGCCGCUCUAGUGCCGCAGGGAAGCUGUUAAGCCUGCCGCCUGGGGAGUACGAUCGCAAGAUUGAAACUUAAAGGAAUUGCGGGGGGAACCC